UACAGAGGGGGCAAGCGUUGUUCGGAUUUACUGGGCGUAAAGGGCGCGUAGGCGGCAUGACAAGUCACUUGUGAAAUCUCUGGGCUUAACCCAGAACGGCCAAGUGAUACUGUCGCGCUAGAGUGCAGAAAGGGCAAUCGGAAUUCUUGGUGUAGCGGUGAAAUGCGUAGAUAUCAAGAGGAACACCUGAGGCGAAGGCGGGUUGCUAGGCUGACACUGACGCUGAGGCGCGAAAGCAUGGGGAGCGAACAGG
rnacentral:rRNA from 1 species